GGCCCGGAGGUGGGUUGUUAACCCGACCCUCAGCCCCAGGGGCGAAAAGUCGAAACUGCUCCGAGAUACCGUAUUGUUCCCUAAGCCGUUCGACGUUCAACCCCGAAAGUGAAGAAGCCUCCGCCUCCGGGGUCGAUCGGAAAUCAUCGGUCGGGUUCCCCGACUGACUUCCUUGAAGAGAGGUUCUAGCCAUAACGCUCGCCCC
rnacentral:lncRNA from 1 species